AGUGAACGCUGGCGGUAGGCCUAACACAUGCAAGUCGAACGGCAGCACAGUAAGAGCUUGCUCUUACGGGUGGCGAGUGGCGGACGGGUGAGGAAUACAUCGGAAUCUACUUUUUCGUGGGGGAUAACGUAGGGAAACUUACGCUAAUACCGCAUACGACCUACGGGUGAAAGCAGGGGAUCUUCGGACCUUGCGCGAUUGAAUGAGCCGAUGUCGGAUUAGCUAGUUGGCGGGGUAAAGGCCCACCAAGGCGACGAUCCGUAGCUGGUCUGAGAGGAUGAUCAGCCACACUGGAACUGAGACACGGUCCAGACUCCUACGGGAGGCAGCAGUGGGGAAUAUUGGACAAAGGGCGCAAGCCUGAUCCAGCCAUACCGCGUGGGUGAAGAAGGCCUUCGGGUUGUAAAGCCCUUUUGUUGGGAAAGAAAAGCAGCAGGUUAAUACCCUGCUGUUCUGACGGUACCCAAAGAAUAAGCACCGGCUAACUUCGUG
rnacentral:rRNA from 1 species